rnacentral:rRNA from 1 species
UACGGGGGGGCGAAGCGUUGUUCGGAAUUACUGGGCGUAAAGGGCUCGUAGGCGGCCUAACUAAGUCGGACGUGAAAAUCCCCAGGCUCAACCUGGGAACUGCGUCCGAUACUGGAUGGCUUGAAGUACCGGGAGAAGGGAUUGGCAGGAAUUCCAGGGUGAUAGCGGUGAAAUGCGUAGAUAUCUGGAGGAACACCGGUGGCGA